CAGUCGCCGCGGUAAUACAGAGGGUGCAAGCGUUAAUCGGAAUUACUGGGCGUAAAGCGCGCGUAGGUGGUUCGCCAAGUUGGAUGUGAAAUCCCGGGGCUCAACCUGGGAACUGCAUCCAAAACUGGCGAGCUAGAGUAUGGUAGAGGGUUGUGGAAUUUCCUGUGUAGCGGUGAAAUGCGUAGAUAUAGGAAGGAACAUCAGUGGCGAAGGCGACCACCUGGACUGAUACUGACACUGAGGUGCGAAAGCGUGGGGAUCAAACAGGAUUAGAUACCCCCGUAGUCCCUGUCUCUUAUAC
rnacentral:rRNA from 1 species